CCAACUUUUCCAUUUAUUUUGACUCGCAUCUGAAACUUCCUAAUGUACCGUCUCCUUUUUAGAAAGUGAACUCCUUGAAAGCAAAACCUGCCUUCGUUUGCUAUUUGGGUCCCAGCACUUAGCACCAUGCUUCACACAUAGUAAGCACCCCAAAAAUGCUCGUCCAUUCAUCCAUGUCCCAAAUUUGUUCAAGUCCCAGCUCUGCUGGGCAGGAAUAGAACUUCUCUUUGCCUAACUAACACAUAAUCACCUAAUCCAUGCACACAUAAGGCCAGUCUUGUUCCCAAUUCAAGAGCUCACAGCAUUUUAGAGCUGAGGGACUCCCAAAAUCCAACCCUCAUUUCAUAAAUGAAGAAACUGAGACCGGAGCAAUAACUUGUUUAAGAUCCCAUAGCUUGUUACAUUUUGAUUACCCUGCCCUCAGUAGCUCUGGACAAGUGACUCAACCCCACUGAGCCUCAGUUUCCUCAUCUUCAAACGGGGAUCACAGGACUAUUAGGAGUAUCGAAUGAGUUGAACCAUGUAAAGUGCUUUGCAAACUUUCCAACCCUUGACAAUUCUGAACCAUCAGAAAGCAGUGGCAGCAGCCAGCAAGGCCCAGAACAAACUGCAGAUUUCUUAAAUCCCAGUCUAACACUCUGGUUGAUAGAGAUCCCCAUGGCUGACCACGGGGCACAUCAGAAAAGAUCGAAAGAAAUCAAACCUAUUCUCACUGACUUGGAAAGACCCGAAAAUCUGAUUUAAAAGGCAAACAGACCUUAAUAGGAAAAAAAUCUCUUAUCAAAUAAAUUGUCAAGGAGGAGUCAGCAGGAUGUCACUCAAGGCCAAGAGCAAAUAGCUUAUGCAUUUAGUUGUUUUUUGGAAGAAAUACCCAGAUUAGAGAUAAUAGCUUUAGAGGAAAUAUAAGGCAAAAGUCAGCUCUUUCUAUGACUCUGCUUUAAAAGGCUAGAGUCACUUUCUUCCUGUUAACUAGGUCCUUUUUAUCUGGAAAUCUCUAAUUUAUGACUGAAGUGCCAGACCAAGUUUUGCAUCCCAUGACUUCUCCUGAAUAGUAUUCUUUUCCCCAGCUCAUUGAAAUGAAUAAUUUGAAUAGGCAAUAAACAAUAAAUAAAAUUUAUAUUCUGAAUAAUGUAUAAUUUGGAGGUGUGAUUUUAAAAGGGUUGCAAUUGUUUUCCCCAUCAGAUAUAUAUAUAUAUGUAUAUAUGUGCAUAUAUAUAUAUAUAUAUCUAUUUUUUUUUUCCCCCUGUACUGGGAUUCAAUUUCUUUGGACCGCAUUUCCCUCUAUUUCAUUUUUUCCCCCCAUAGUUUUUGGAAUUUUUAUUAAAGCAAUAAUUUUAUAAUCCAAAUUACAUUUCUUUGCUCAGCUAUCAUUUGUUGUCUAAAACAGUGGUGAUAUUCUGAGGUUUUCCACGGUAAAUAAUUAAGAGAUUAAAGAGAACCCUUUAAAUUUUUGUACUGUACCAAAACCUCCCCCUCCCCCAUCAAACAUUAAUUUCUUUUUAUAUUUGACUAUUUGGGAUCACUUUUUGUUUUUGCUUUAAAAGGAAUAGGUAAUCUAGGACCAGCAUUAAGUUUGCUAGACCUGGCAUUUGCUGGGUACAUCAAGGUCAAAGUUUCCUUUCCAUGUAUUCUUUAUUUCAUAUUUUGCAAUGUUUUUUUUUUUUUUUUUAAAUUUUAUUUCACAACAUUUUAAGUCUUUUGAUGUUUCUUUUCUGUGAGGAAGCAGACCUUCCAUCCCCCGGUCCCUCAUCUUUCCUUUUAGACAGGAGGCACGUCGGGAGCACUGUUGACCGCUUUCUGGGCGGCCUCUUUCGCCUGGUGAGCUUGCAGCACCGCCACCGCUUCGUCGACCUUGGACCGCAGAGACUCCGGGGACUCGAGCAUGUGGAGAAGCUCCGAGUUGUCGAUCUCCAGCAACAUGCCAGUGAUCUUACCGGCCAGGGUCGGGUGCAUGGCCUGGAUGAGCGGGAACAGCCGUUCUCCCAGCAUCUGCUUCUGCUCCUGUGGAGGGGCGGCGGCCAACAUGGAAGCCGUGAGCGGCUCCUGACCCUGCACGUGGACGGCGGGCUGCUGCAGGGUCACCUGAGGCGGCGGGUUCAGGUGCUGCUGGGGAUUGCGCACGCCAGCGGCGUACUUGUACUGGGGCGCCGAACGCACGGCUGGGGUCCCCGCGGAGGCGGACCCCGCGGCCGCGCGGGGGCCCAUGCUCUGCGAGGUGGCGUUGGAGACCCGGGAGGACAUGGCCCUUGGCACCUGCGAGGAAGACGGCCUCAUGGUCCCGAACGGGGGCCUGGGAGCCGCCGGCCGGAUGGCCCCGGGCAUGUUUUGGAACGGAUGAGGCCUGGCCCCCUGGGCCGUCCACCGGGGACUGGGUCUGAGAGGGGCGAUCUGGCCGGGGGGAUAGUAGGCGGGGCGGUUCUGCGCCUGGGGGAUGGCCGCCAUGAAGUAGCCCGAGGGAGGCUGGUAAGGGUUGAUCACGGGGUUGGGCACGGCCCGGACGCUGGCCAUCCUCUGCAUGUACUGGUUCGUGAGGUGGGCCUGCCGCUCCUCUUUGCGCUGGGCCAAGGCUAUGUACAGGGGCUUGGUGGCCACGAUCCGGCCGUUCAUCUCCGUGACGGCUUUGGUGGCCUCCUCGGGGGAGGAGAAGCAGACGAAGCCGAAGCCUUUGCUGCGGCCCCCUUCCAUCAUCACCUUGGCGCUGGUGAUGGUCCCGAAGGGGGAGAACUCUUUGCGCAGGCGCUCGUCGUCGAUGCCGUCGUCCAGAUUCUUCACGUACAGGUUCACCCCCUGGUACCUGGUGAUGCGGUCCUGCUUCAUCUGCUCGAACUUGCGCUUGAGUUCCGUCUGGCGCUCGACCUUUUUCUGAGCCCGGCCCACGUAGAUCUUCUUCCCGUUCAGCUCCUUGCCGUUCAUCUCCUCCACGGCCUUCUGGGCGUCCUCGUGCCUCUCGAAGUUCACGAAGCCGAAGCCUUUGGACGUGCCGCUCUCGUCCGUCAUGACUUUGACGCUGAGGGCGGGCCCGAACUUACCGAAGAGCCUCUUGAGCCUCAGAUCGUCCAUGUCCUCCCCGAAGUUCUUGAUGUAAACGUUGGUGAACUCUUUGGCCCUGGCCCCCAGCUCGGCCUCCCUCUCUUUGCGGGACUUAAAGCGGCCCACGAAGACCUUGCGGUCGUUCAGGAGCAUGCCGUUCAUCUUGUCGAUGGCCCUCUCGGCCGCCUCGCGGGUCUCGAAGUGCACGAACCCGUAGCCCUUGGAGCCGUUCUCGUCGCACACCACCUUGCAGGACAGGAUGUUGCCGAAGGCGGAGAAGGUAUCGAACAGAGCCUUGUUGUCGAUGGACUUGUCCAGGUUUUUGAUGAAGAUGUUGCCCACGCCGCUUUUGCGGAGGGAGGGGUCCCUCUGGGACCACAUGAUGCGCACCGGCUUGCCCUUGAUGACAUCGAAAUUCAUGGUCUCCAGGGCUCUCUCGGCAUCCGCCGGCUGCUGGAAGUUGACAUAGGCGUAGCCCAGGGAGCGCCUGGUGAUCAUGUCCCUGCAGACGCGGAUGGAGAGGAUGGGCCCGGCCGGGCUGAACUUCUCGUACAGCAUCGCCUCGCUCACCUCGGGGUGCAGGUCCCCCACGUACAGCGAGGCCGUGGGGUAGCUGGGGGCGCUGGGGUGCAUCUCGCCGCCCGCCGCGGCCGCCGCCGCCGCCGCCGCCCGAGGAGAAGGAGGAGGAGGAGGAGGAGGAGGAGGAGGAGGAGGAGGAGGAGGAGGUGGAGGAAGAGGAGCAGCAGCAGCAGCAGCAGGAGGAGGAGGAGGAGGAAGAGCAGGAGCUGCGGCGGGAGCAGGAGAAGGACCAGGAGGAAGAGCAGGAGGAGGGCCACGGGCCGCCGCCGCCCGAGCUCUCCGGCAAGAGGCAGCUGGGUGGAUAGAGCACGGCCGGGGAACCAAGACUGAUUUUCCCAAGUUCAAAUCAAGCCUCAGACACUUCCUAGCUGGGUUAGGAAGUCACUUCACCUGGGCAAAUCACUUCACCCCGUUUGCUCCGUUUCCUGUCUGCAAAGUGAACUGGAAAAGGAGAUGGCAAAUCUCCCCCAGCAUCUUUUCCAAGAAAAUCCCCAAAGGGGUAGCAGGGUUGGACAAGAUUGGAAAAAAGCACAUUGUCAUUGUUAAGUAUGUUAAAUUCUUUAAAAGGAGACGAAAUGGAAAGAUAAGAAGCAAUUCCAAGACUGGCUAAGAUACCCUGAGAUUGGGGGUGGGUGCCUACUAUCUGACUUAAAGGCAGGUGGUUACUUUACUCGAUAAACUUUGAGGAGCUCGGGAGUCUCCUGGACACCAUUUAAAAGGGUCAGAAAUUUCACUAUUAGAAUUUCAUGGCUUUGGGUGUUGAGAUGUAAAAGGAGAAUGGCUGGCUGGUCCCAUGCUGAGUGGUAAGCCAGGAUUUCUUUGGGAUAGGGUCACAGGCUGGCUACCUGAAGGGACAGAUACAAAAGGGAAUUCGGGAUGAAGAGUCCCUUUCAACGUCAAGAACAUCAGCUACUGGCGUCCAUACACUGUUUGGAUGGGCUCAGAAUGGAAAGUUUCCCCAAACAAGACAGGAAGUGGUCAAGGAAGAGCUUUAAAGGCUAGUAGUGAAUGAAAUCUGGGGAGCCUUUCACUCUCUUUUCAAAUAUUAAUUUAUUUUUCAGAUGUAGCCUGGGGCAUUAAAUCAACUAAAAUCAGAGAAGAGCUAUGCAAAUAUUUGUUAGAAAUGUAGAGAUCAUCCGGAACAGUCACUGGUCAGAUAAAGGCACAUCCUUCUCCUCAAAGCUCUAAUCUGCAAAAACAAAAUGCACAUGCAGAAAUAUCUCCCCCAUUCUUUAAUUCUUUUCGGGUUCCCCCCAGUCCAUCUUCACAGAGCAAAACAUAUAAAAUUUGGAGGAACCCCUAAUAUAGGAUUUGAGAUGAAAAACACAAAAUAGAAAUUGCCUGCGGUCAGUGCAGAUGCAAAUCGGGGUACGGUUCCUUUCUGGCUGGUAUUUAAAACAGAAAGACUGAGACAGAGAACUAACCGAUGCUUGAUUCGAUGAUUCCAAGAACAAUUCCAGGCCUCCAAAAGAUGAUGGCUUCAUCAUCUGGUCUUGCUAUUUUUCACCUUUAGAAAAAGUUGAAAUCUUGACAUGGGGACUGUGGAAGGUCUCGUUUGUUAAAAAGACAGGCUGGCUAAAAAGCAAGAACAUCAAAAGAAUGGAUCUAACACCCCUCACCCCGAUUGUUCAAGCCAAUCAUGAGGUCAGAGAUCCCUGAACAAGACAUGUGGUUUAACCUAGACUUUCUUUCUUUUUUUUUUUUUUUUAAUAGCCUUUUAUUUACAGGUUAUAUGCAUGGGUAACUUUACAGCAUUAACAAUUGCCAAACCUCUUGUUCCAAUUUUUCACCUCUUACCCCCCCCCCACGCCCUCCCCCAGAUGGCAGGAUGACCAGUAGAUGUUAAAUAUAUAUUAAAAUAUAAAUUAGAUACACAAUAAGUCUACGUGACCAAAACGUUAUUUUGCUGUACAAAAAGAAUCAGACUCUGAAAUAUUGUACAAUUAGCUUGUGAAGGAAA
ensembl:lncRNA